UGAUGAUGAUACGUAGGUAGAAGUGCCUACGCAGUAAACGAUACUGUAUUGUUCUCUAUAUUGUAAUUUGACUAGCAAUCGAGUAGGCAGUAAGUAAUAUUAAGAUUUAUUUACCAAAUAUAAAAGCGAAAGAAUUUAAAGCUAAUUUAAUUGCCUAUCAAAAUUACAAAAAGUACCUAUAAUGCUAAAAGUUAACUUUCUUUU